GCAGCCGCGGUAAUUCCAGCUCCAAUAGCGUAUAUUAAAGUUGUUGCAGUUGAAAAAGCUCGUAGUUGAAUUUCGGGGUCAGUAGGCUGGCCGUGCCACGGGUAUGUACUGGUCUUACUGAUUCCUCCUUCCUGAUGAACCGUAAUGCCAUUAAUUUGGUGUUGCGGGGAAUCUGGACUGUUACUUUGAAAAAAUUAGAGUGUUUAAAGCAGGCUAACGCUUGAAUACAUUAGCAUGGAAUAAUGAAAUAGGACGAUCGAUCCUAUUUUGUGGUUUCUAGGAUUGACGUAAUGAUUAAUAGGGAUAGUUGGGGGCAUUAGUAUUCAAUUGUCAGAGGUGAAAUUCUUGGAUUUAUUGAAGACUAACUACUGCGAAAGCAUUUGCCAAGGAUGUUUUCAUUAAUCAAGAACGAAAGUUAGGGAUCGAAGACGAUCAGAUACCGUCAUAGUCUUAACCAUAAACUAUGCCGACUAGGGAUCGGAUGAUGUUAAUUUUUAAUGACUCAUU
rnacentral:rRNA from 1 species